rnacentral:tRNA from 3 species
GGGCGGUUAACUCAGCGGCAGAGUGCCACCUUCACACGGUGGAAGUCACUGGUUCAAUCCCAGUACCGCCCACCA